rnacentral:rRNA from 1 species
GACGAACGCUGGCGGCGUGCUUAACACAUGCAAGUCGAACGGAAAGGCCCUGCUUUUGCGGGUUGCUCGAGUGGCGAACGGGUGAGUAACACGUGAGUAUCCCGCCCUUGACUUUGGGAUAACUUCAGGAAACUGGGGCUAAUACCGGAUAGGAGCUCCUGCUGCAUGGUGGGCGUUGGAAAGUUUCGGCGGUUGGGGAUGGACUCGCGGCUUAUCAGCUUGUUGGUGGGGUAGUGGCUUACCAAGGCUUUGACGGGUAGCCGGCCUGAGAGGGUGACCGGCCACAAUAGGACUGAGAGACGGCCCAGACGCGUACGGGAGGCAGCAGGGGGGAAUAUUGCACAAUGGGCGGAAGCCUGAGGCAGCAGCGCCGCGUGCGGGAUGACGGCCUUCGGGUUGUAAACCGCUUUCGCCUGUGACGAGGCGUGAGUGACGGUAAUGGGUAAAGAAGCACCGGCUAACUACGUG